UGCACCCCCUUUUCUUUCUAGAGGCGC
rnacentral:piRNA from 1 species